AAUCAUCCGAGCUUCGUUGUUGCAGAAAAUGCGGCGCUCAGCACCCACAGCUCUAAUGGACCGACCUCAUUUUGCCAAGUUGGCAAAACCAACGCACCCGUCAAAGCAGACUUUGCCUCCUGCCCUCCACAAACAUUCACUGAGCGCCCGCGCGUGCCCACUGCCAGGGCCCCGUGGAAGCCACAGGAAACCUGUUUCCAUGAGGUGGCGGGGUGGGGGUCCUUACAAGCCCAGGGGCCCUGGGAAGGAGAGGACAGCCCUUCUGCCAAGGGGCGCUGGGGAGGCCAGUGUGCCUCUGGGUGGGAGCCAGGGAGCCUCUUGUCUGUCGCUGUCACUUCUAAGGUGUCCAUCCACGGGUUCGGGCCCAGGAAAACUGUCAGAUGGCAGCAAAGGAGCUGAGCUCAGACUCUGACUCCGGGCCCCUGGCCACACCUUCAGUAGCGAGGGCUGUCCUGACCGAGGAGCACUCGGAGCGUCCAGAUGAGCUCAGCGUCUGGGAAGCCUUGGCCACCGCCUGGGAGGGGGCGGAAGCGGGCAGGGCCUCGGAAGGAGGGCAGCCAAGGGCAGAAAGGAGCCGAGGCUGGCUGAGGCGCUCAUUCCGCCGGCCUCCCUACGUUCACACACGCUCAUAGUUUCCAUAAGACGCGGUCGAGAAAAGGGGCGGCAGCCUGGGCCCCAGCUCUACCCCCAUGGCCACAGCCAGCGUGGUAAAGGCUUCUCGCACUCGGCCUCCCUGCGUCUCGGCGGGAUGUACUCUUCUCUGUGGGAGCAGAAAUCCGUGUACAGCCAAUCUCUGGAUCAUCAAGGGUUUGAAGUGGAGAGAUGACGGUUGCAGAAGGAGUUCCCGUCGUGGCGCAGCAGAAAGAGAUCCGACUAGGAACCAUGAGGGUGUGGAUUCGAUCCCUGGCCUCGCUCUAUGGGUUAAGGAUCUGGCGUGGCUGUGGCUGUGGUGUAGGCCGGCAGCUGCAGCUCCGAUGGGACCCCUAGCCUGGGAACUUCCAUAUGCCUCCAGUCUUCCUGGCUUCAGCGUCUGGGUGCCUGGGGCAGCCCAGCUGUUCUUGGGCUUCUGUCCCCUCACGAAGAGCGCCAGGGAGCUCCAGGCCUUGGGGGCUUGGUCUUGGGGGCAGCGGCCUUGGUCCCGCUCCCUGCUUCCCGCUCACGGCCUGCUCUAGACUUGGAAAUACAGUAACAGACGUGGUUCAGACGGGCCUGCAAAGAGCACAGCGCUGAAACCAGGGCUUAGCAGAAAGGCUCAGGGGGCGGGCCCAUCAGAGGCCCUGUCUGGGUCUCUGCAGGCUGGCAGGUGGGCCAGUGUUCCGCGAGGCGGGGACACGCGCAGCGGCUGCAGAGCUGCCUGGUGUGUUUCUGGUCAGCUUUGCCGAAUAUGGUCACUCUCAGCGUCACUCUUUCUUUUGACUCAAUGCUGAGAGGUCCUGCCGGCCACAGAGAGAGCAGCCGGCCAGAGCCAGAGAUGGGCUGAGGCUGGUGCGGUUACAUCAUCAUUUAAAAGCACAGGCGUGCCCCCGCGUUUCUCUGAAAGUGAAGGGCGUGAGAAACAGUACCAGUGCGAGGAAUCUCUCCUAUUUCCUUCGAAGGAAGGACGGCAGACCUGCCUCACAGGCUAACGUUAGUUAGGUGGCUCUACACGUCAGAAACUUCUGCCUCCUGUGCGCGAAAUCGCCUGUAGGGCAAGAGGAAUUCAAAAAGCUGGGGACUGAAACAGACUCACGGUCUGCCCUCGGCCCCCGGCACAGACCAGCCCCAGGUGGGAGCCGAGUCCCCCAGCGGCAGCCUCGCCAGCACCCCAGCCCCCCCAGAAAGCCGGGGCUGCGCUAGUUCUGCACAGUGAGUCACACGGAGAUGACAGUGACAGAUACCUGCGAACACCCACGGUCCCAUCCCUGCUGGCAUAUCACACACGCAGCUCCACUUAAGGCAAAGGAGUCCCUUUCCUCGUUUCACUCAGACGCCUCACAAAAAGUGAUGAGCCUUGUGUUGAACAGCUCAUCGUCUGCUGAAAAGCUUCAGGUCGAGUCGUGCUCCCUCCUCAGCCAAACCCGCCCAGGCCUGGAGACGGAGCGUGGGGGCAGAAGGCGGGCACCUCCGCUUUCAGCAGAGGGAACCCGGUGGCCUUGCUGCCAGGGGCCUGGGAGGCGAGAGGUAUUCACGGAGGGGCUUCUGCCAUGGUGCUGGGAUUCUUAACGUUUGGGGGGCCGGAGGCCCCUCCCCCCAAAUUCCAGCCCCCUUGAGAUUCAGCGGCACCCAAUUUUAGGCCCUGACAGAACUUCGGAAGCUGAUUCUGACCGACCCAGAUCAAUUCCUUCCGGAUGAUGGAAAGACCCUGCAGGCACCCUGAGCCUAGGCCUGGCCUUGCCGUGACGUGUGCCCAGCGGGCAUCUGGGCCUCAGUGUCCUCAACAGUCAAGCUAAGGAUGGUUUCCGGGGUACCUUCUGGCUCCGUUUUUCUGUGAGUAUGAAUCAGCUUUCCAAACUGUUUCUUCUGUGUAGGUUACAGAAACCCUGGCAACCAGUUGUCAUCUCUUACCUUGGCCUUUCCGGAGCGGGCCGCCACCCACCCCCUGGGUCCUUUCCAGGACUUGGCUGCCAAAGUACACCCAGAAGCAUAAACUGAUUGCUGCUUCCCAAAGGAGGAUCCACGCUGGCCCCUGCCCCCGGCUUCUACCCCACCUGGGGAGAGAGAAUAGACGCAGAGACCCAGGGUGGACAUCAGGUGUCCGGGCCCUGCCUGGCCCAGGAAAUAUCUUGUCUCUCUGCUCACCCACUCCAGGGGACUCAUGGGCUGGCCAGGUAGGACUCCUAGACCAGCGCCCAGCGGUGGUCCUUCCCCAGCCGGAGACUCGACUCUCUGGCCUCUGAGCAGGAUGCCAGCUCCCGGAGGGGCCCUUCAUGUUCCCAGGGACUGUCAUACUGACCCUCUGUUGCCUCGGCCUUUCCAGCCUUCUCUCAUGGGGGGUGGGGGUGGGGUGGGAUAAAGCAGGGGAGAAGAGGAGGGUGCAUAGAGAAAUCAUGUAGAGAAGGACAGUGGGAUGUGAGAGUCACUCAGAAGCUCUGUGACCUUAGACAUGUAGCCUAACCUCUCUGGACCUCAGUUUCCUAAUCUGUGAAAUGGGAAGAACAGUACCCACCCCAGGCCGGUUUCAAGACCAGGAGGAGUCAAAUGGCCCAGGAAACCCUCGACCGCGCCUCCGCGAGCUAGAGGUGCCUUUGCCGCCGUCUGGAGC
rnacentral:lncRNA from 1 species